GCAUUUUCAGAAAUACCAUAUUAGUGUCACAGAGAGCUGGGCUCAAGCUCCCACUGUGACCUCAAAGGGCCAAGUCAUGUGGCUGGUAACGGGAUGGGUGGGGGGGAAGGGGGAAGGCCUAAUGAUAGUCCUGUCCUUGCUAGCUCUGCCCAUUUUGGCGUCAGAAUGUCCCCUCCAGGGGUUGCCCCUGGAGGGGUUGACAAAUGGCCAGGUGACUCUCACCUGGAGAACUGUUCAGCUUUUGGGGCUUCUUAAGGGCUGGGGAGGACCCUGAGGCAGGGUGGAGGGUGGUGGGCAGCAGUCAGCGGCUGCAGCAUCUGACCCCAGGAGAGAACAAGAGAAAGAGAAGCAGAGCAAGUGGGAGAGAACUCACUCCGCGCGCUCUCCUGGACUUCUUCCAGACCCCCAGCCGCAGAAACAGCUUUCCUUCUGCCAGCUCUCCACGGCACAUGGAGCAUCAUGAUUCACUCGGCCCACAGUCUAAUAACCACCUGUCCACGAUGGCAGCCGCCAGCCACACGUGGCUAUGAAGCACGUGAAAAGUGGCCCAUCCCAACUGAGACGACCCAGAAGCGUGAAAUACACUCAAAGAGCUAGUAUGAAAAAAAAAAAAAUGUACAGUAUCCCAUUAA